rnacentral:rRNA from 1 species
UACGGAGGAUGCGAGCGUUAUCCGGAUUUAUUGGGUUUAAAGGGUGCGCAGGCGGCGUGUCAAGCAAGCGGUAAAAUAGCGGGGCUCAACCCCGUCGAGCCGUUUAAACUGGCGCGCUUGAGUUCAGGCGAGGUAGGCGGAAUUCGUGGUGUAGCGGUGAAAUGCAUAGAUAUCACGAAGAACUCCGAUUGCGAAGGCAGCUUACCAGUCUGCGACUGACGCUCAGGCACGAAAGUGUGGGUAUCGAACAGG